UACGUAGGGACCGAGCGUUGUCCGGAAUCAUUGGGCGUAAAGAGCUCGUAGGUGGUUUGUCGCGUUGUUCGUGAAAACUCACAGCUCAACUGUGGGCGUGCGGGCGAUACGGGCAGACUAGAGUACUGCAGGGGAGACUGGAAUUCCUGGUGUAGCGGUGGAAUGCGCAGAUAUCAGGAGGAACACCGGUGGCGAAGGCGGGUCUCUGGGCAGUAACUGACGCUGAGGAGCGAAAGCGUGGGGAGCGAACAGG
rnacentral:rRNA from 1 species